rnacentral:lncRNA from 1 species
CUCUGGCAUGACGUGACACUUCCUACGGCUCCCAUGGGCUCUCUAAAGCCGCCAGAAAGUGGAAUGGGGUGUCUGCUGUCUCUGGGCGAAGAACAGCAGGAGAAUUUGUGAGUGGUCAGCCUGGGGACAGUGACACUGGAGAUGUGCGUUCAUGAGAAUUCUCCAUUUUUUUCUUUCAGCCUUUGAAUGAAUACAACGUUGCCCGGUUGGAAUAUUAUCGCUUUUACGAGAAAAAUAGCAUAAAAAUAGAUUUUAAACAGCGUUUGACAUGCUUCGAAGUACGGUAAUGGAAUAUUUUGAAUUUUUUGGUCACGAAAUGCACUCGCGCGUCACCCUUCGGAUAGUGACCUGAACGCACAAACAAAACAGAGCUAUUUGAAUAUAACUAUGGAUUAUUUGGAACCAAAACAGCAUUUGUUGUUGAAGUAGAAGUCCUGGGAGUGCAUUCUGACGAAGAACAGCAAAGGCCCAUGACCUCUCCCUGUCUCAUCGAUGGCCAUCUGGCAUACACAGUAAGACACCUCCUGAAUGUUCGACCUUGGGGCAGGG